rnacentral:rRNA from 1 species
CGCUAGCUACAGGCUUAACACAUGCAAGUCGAGGGGCAGCAUGGUCUUAGCUUGCUAAGACUGAUGGCGACCGGCGCACGGGUGAGUAACACGUAUCCAACCUGCCGUCUACUCUUGGACAGCCUUCUGAAAGGAAGAUUAAUACAAGAUGGCAUCAUGAGUCCGCAUGUUCACAUGAUUAAAGGUAUUCCGGUAGACGAUGGGGAUGCGUUCCAUUAGAUAGUAGGCGGGGUAACGGCCCACCUAGUCUUCGAUGGAUAGGGGUUCUGAGAGGAAGGUCCCCCACAUUGGAACUGAGACACGGUCCAAACUCCUACGGGAGGCAGCAGUGAGGAAUAUUGGUCAAUGGGCGAGAGCCUGAACCAGCCAAGUAGCGUGAAGGAUGACUGCCCUAUGGGUUGUAAACUUCUUUUAUAAAGGAAUUAAGUCGGGUAUGUAUACCCGUUUGCAUGUACUUUAUGAAUAAGGAUCGGCUAACUCCGUGCCAGCAGCCGCGGUAAUACGGAGGAUCCGAGCGUUAUCCGGAUUUAUUGGGUUUAAAGGGAGCGUAGAUGGAUGUUUAAGUCAGUUGUGAAAGUUUGCGGCUCAACCGUAAAAUUGCAGUUGAUACUGGAUAUCUUGAGUGCAGUUGAGGCAGGCGGAAUUCGUGGUGUAGCGGUGAAAUGCUUAGAUAUCACGAAGAACUCCGAUUGCGAAGGCAGCCUGCUAAGCUGCAACUGACAUUGAGGCUCGAAAGUGUGGGUAUCAAACAGGAUUGGAUACCCCUGGUA